rnacentral:rRNA from 1 species
UACAGAGGUGCGAGCGUUAAUCGGAAUUACUGGGCGUAAAGCGCACGUAGUCGGCUUUGCAAGCCGGUUGUGAAAUCCCCGGGCUCAACCCUGGGGAACUGCAUCCGGGACUGCAUUGCUAGAGUAUGGGAGAGGGAAGCGGAAUUUCUGGUGUAGCAGUGAAAUGCGUAGAUAUCAGAAGGAACAUCAGUGGCGAAGGCGGCUUCCUGGACCAAUACUGACGAUCAGGUGCGAAAGCGUGGGGAGCAAACAGG